UACGUAGGGCGCAAGCGUUAUCCGGAAUUAUUGGGCGUAAAGAGCUUGUAGGCGGUUUGUCGCGUCUGCUGUGAAAUUUCGGGGCUCAACCCCGAACUUGCAGUGGGUACGGGCAGACUAGAGUGUGGUAGGGGAGACUGGAAUUCCUGGUGUAGCGGUGAAAUGCGCAGAUAUCAGGAGGAACACCGAUGGCGAAGGCGGGUCUCUGGGCAGUAACUGACGCUGAGGAGCGAAAGCGUGGGGAGCGAACAGG
rnacentral:rRNA from 1 species